UAGGGAAUCUUCGGCAAUGGACGAAAGUCUGACCGAGCAACGCCGCGUGAGUGAAGAAGGUUUUCGGAUCGUAAAACUCUGUUGUUAGAGAAGAACAAGGACGUUAGUAACUGAACGUCCCCUGACGGUAUCUAACCAGAAAGCCACGGCUAACUACGUGCCAGCAGCCGCGGUAAUACGUAGGUGGCAAGCGUUGUCCGGAUUUAUUGGGCGUAAAGCGAGCGCAGGCGGUUUCUUAAGUCAGAUGUGAACGCCCCCGGCUCAACCGGGGAGGGUCAUUGGAAGCUGGGAGACUUGGGUGCAGAGGAGGAGAGUGGAGUUCCAUGUGUAGCGGUGAAAUGCGUAGAUAUAUGGAGGAACACCAGUGGCGGAGGCGGCUCUCUGGUCUGUAACCGACGCUGAGGCUCGAAAGCGUGGGGAGCAAACAGG
rnacentral:rRNA from 1 species